AUUUUGAAAAUGAUUCUACCUAAGACUCAGGCGGCAAAUGCCUUAAUAUUACCUGGCGAGGAAUUUGAGUGAAUAAUUUUACUUUAAAACUUUCUCUAUGUCUUGGUGGACAUAGGGUUUUUUUAAACCCUGA
rfam:Lactobacillus oeni DSM 19972 NODE_96, whole genome shotgun sequence.